CCUGACAGCUUAGUUGGUAAAGGAUCUGCCUGCAACGCAGGAGACCCCAGUUUGAUUCCUGGGUCAGGA
rnacentral:tRNA from 1 species